AACGAACGCUGGCGGCAUGCCUAACACAUGCAAGUCGAACGAGACCAUCGGGUGUUGUGGCGCACGGGUGCGUCGCGCGUCGGAAGCUUCCCUUAGGUUCGGAAUAACUCCCCGACGGGGGUGCUAAUGCCGGAUAAUGUCUUCUGACCAAAGAUUUAUCGAAUUUGGAUGGGCCCGCGUUGGAUUAGCUUGUUGUUAGGGUAAUAGCCUACCAAGGCGACGAUCCAUAGCUGGUCUGAGAGGAUGCUCAGCCACACUGGGCCGGAGACACGGCCGAGAAUCCUACGGGAGGGAGCAGUGGCGUACAGUGGACAUUCGGCGAAGGCCUGAACGAGCAACGCCGCGUGAAUGAUGAAGGUCGGAAGGUAGUAAAGCCCUUUUACCCGGGCGCAUAUUGACAGGACCGGGAGAAAAAGCCCCGGCUAACUCCGUG
rnacentral:rRNA from 1 species